rnacentral:rRNA from 1 species
AACGAACGCUGGCGGCAUGCCUAACACAUGCAAGUCGAACGAGAUCUUCGGGUCUAGUGGCGCACGAGUGCGUAACGCGUGGGAAUCUGCCCUUUGGUUCGGAAUAACAGUUGGAAACGACUGCUAAUACCGGAUGAUGACGAAAGUCCAAAGAUUUAUCGCCGGAGGAUGAGCCCGCGUAGGAUUAGCUAGUUGGUGUGGUAAAGGCGCACCAAGGCGACGAUCCUUAGCUGGUCUGAGAGGAUGAUCAGCCACACUGGGACUGAGAAACGGCCCAGACUCCUACGGGAGGCAGCAGUGGGGAAUAUUGGACAAUGGGCGAAAGCCUGAUCCAGCAAUGCCGCGUGAGUGAUGAAGGCCUUAGGGUUGUAAAGCUCUUUUACCCGGGAUGAUAAUGACAGUACCGGGAGAAUAAGCUCCGGCUAACUCCGUGCCAGCCGCCGCCGCAG